rnacentral:rRNA from 1 species
CCCUUAGAUGUUCUGGGCUGCGCGCGCGCUACACUGAAGCGUUCAACGAGUAUUCACCUUGCCCGGGAGGGUUGGGUAAUCUUUUGAAAACGCUUCGUGAUGGGGAUAGAUUAUUGCAAUUAUUAAUCUUCAACGAGGAAUUCCUAGUAAGCGCGAGUCAUCAGCUCGUGCUGAUUACGUCCCUGCCCUUUGUACACACCGCCCGUCGCUCCUACCGAUCGAGUGAUCCGGUGAAUAAUUCGGACUGCAGCACUGCUUGGUCUCCAGGCUUUGCAGCGGAAAGUUUAGUGAACCUUAUCACUUAGAGGAAGGAGAAGUCGUAACA